GGUCCCGCCUCCCGCUACUUGACAGCGUAGAAGCUCUCGUAACGUUAUUCGUAGACGACAGACGGGACAAAAGCUUAAUCGCCGGGUGAAACAAGAGACGUUCCGUGCGUCACAAGUACAUUUCCAUGUGCCGAACUUGAACAUCUGCACUCGCGGCUAAGACGCAUCGUAGGACAACGGACCAGGGUUCUUCAAGCAAACGGGUGGUUGGGCUGAGUCUCUACGUACGAUGUGCGACCAGCGGCGCCACGGCAAGCCGUCGACGCGACAGGGGUCUCCGGUUCGCCAGGCGCCGAUCGCACGGUCGAGUCUCUGCGCUUCGCGCAAAAUGCAAAGAAGAAGUGGGGAGUCACCAAAGACGCCACGCUGUACACAAGAGAGCCGCAUAGCAGCGAGUCCGUAAGCGGCAGUGAUCGAGAUUACGCACGGAUUAGCACAGCUUAGUGGGCGUCGCUGGAGAAGCAACGGUACUUUCGACAAGACCCGCGCCGACAGCGAGCAACACGGGGGGGACGGGACGGUUUUUUCGGAAAGCCAUCGCAACGUGUGCACCGCACUGCCAGCGUUUCGUCGGCAACGGAGACAGCACGAUCGAGAACCGAAGGUUACGAACAGGCUCCAUUGCGGCAGUAUGGUCAACGUCGUCCAAGGGGCACAGUUACUACACAAACAGCCUUCUAUCAAUGUACAGUUGGUGUGCAGGCCUUCACAUUGGUCGUGGGAAGAAAUGUUGGUGUGCAGGUAUGCAGCUUUAACCACACGGUGGGAACACAGACCGAGGUCCAGCCCGCAGCUAUGUGCACUGUGCAGAAUGCUGCUUCUUCUUCGGAUCCAAUGUGUGGCUGUGGCGCCCUUGAACCAUGCCACUGCAGCUCACUGACAAAGGGCUGCGAAUAGUAUAUUCACACAGACUCAUUACCAGGAUAUAUGGAUAACGUGACUAUAUGCUGAUACCUUGGUGCCAAGAUGUGCCUCCAUGAUGCCUCACAUCUCGGCCUAUUCUGCAGUGCUGCCUAUGACAAGAAGUGCUAUAUAGUCGUGCUCCGGCGGUCUGACCAGUCUAAAAGAUCCAUUUCUUCAAAUGCCACCAAACUAUGCAGUGGGCUCCAGGACAAGUAGGAAAGAAGUGUUAGCAGAACGCAGCUGCCAUCAUCGGUGCCUUUCAGUGAAGGGGCGAAAAUACAGUAGAACCUUGUUGAUACGUUUUCGAAAAAACGCGGAAAAUAUAUGUACGAUCUAGGAAAACGUACAAUCCAAAUCCAGUGAAAAAUGAAGCGACAUUGGUGAGGUACUCCUCAUCGAUGUCGUCGUUGAUGUCAGACGCGCACGCUACAGAGUCGUCUUAGCUGCGCUCUGUGUCCUCUCAUGCAAACUGCCGCCUUAAACCGCACUUCCUGAAACAGCUGCGCACUGCCAUUACGUUAACUCAGGAGGCCUGUGCUUGCUUCCAGCUCCCCAUGGCAGGCUCCACGGGUUUGCUUUGUUGCGCCGCCGAAUACCAAGGCAUUCGUCUCAAUCUCUUUUCGCUUCGACAUUCACGGUAUUUAAGUUUGUUCACUAUGUCAAUUCGCUUUCUCUUUGGGUUUCUUUCGACGACCGCAAGAAUAUUCAGCUUCUCCUUAAUUCAAGUACAUAGAUUUGUCUAGUCUUUGUACUUGCGGACAGCGAAUUACACUUGUGGCUUUGUUUAUUGCUGUGUUUUGGUGUGUGUUUUUUUUUUGAAGGGAAGAAUGAACCCUUUUGAACUUCGCAAGCCAAUUUGAAAUGGUAAGUCUAAAAGAUUAAAGUGGUGAAGCACAACUGCUGAACAUUUGCCGAUUGUUGUUUCAUGACAAGCAGCUUGAAGCCACGCAAAGCCAAAAGAAACGUAAUGUACGAAGGCUAGGCAAAUCCGUGUACUUCCAUGCUUGCUGAAGCGCCAUGCGUUGCAGCUCCCAUAGACACUAGCGCCAAAGUUCCCUCUAGUGUAUAUUUAGGAAAAUAUAUGGGGAAGGCACUGCUCUUUAUUCAGAGAGAACGCAUAACAGUGAUUACAGUAAAUUUCCAUUGUGCAGCGCUGUGCGACACGUCACGUGAAACCGAAACUGAUUGGAAGUCCAUGACUCCGAGAUUAGUAUAUUCAAUUUAGGAAAUUAAAUGCCUGAUACCACACCUCUGAUCUCAUGUACGUGAUUACUGAUUACAUUGCCAAAUGUCGGACCAGGAACCAUGACUCCUUUCUAAGUCCAUCUCACGACUUCAUACUUAUUGUUGUUCCACAGUGCCCUAUUUUUAAUUACAGCUGCAUUCCUGUUACCUGUAGUUGUGACAAAAUUUUCAUGCUUCCUCACGUAGUCAGCACCAUUGCUUAUCUAUACGCCAAGAUAUUUGUAUUUAUCCACUAUCUCCUGUGGGACCUCCUGUAUUUUAUACUCACUGCCUUUCUUAUAUGAUUGCUGAUUUUUCUCUGCUGAACUUCAAAUUUAACCUAUGUCCCUCGUUACCACAGGUGUCUCAAUCCCUGCAGGUCUUCAUCAUUUUCAGCCAUUAAUACUAUAUUAUCUGCACACAUUAAUGCUCGUAAUGACUGCUCAGCGUGAUUUUUUUUUUUUUUUUUUGCUUGGCAAAAGAGAACUUGAAGCAUAGGCCACUCCCCUCUAAUUUGGCUUCUAAUCCUUGUAGAAAACAGAGGUGAAGCCCUCGUACUUCUAUUGGCUCGGGUACUGUUCCUCCCAUUUUACAACUACCGUGCUACUUUUAUAGAUGCCCCCCAAAAAUUAAUUACUCAUCUUCCACAUGUAAGUGUCUCUAGAACGCCUCACAAGUCCUCUUGAAUCACUAUCAUAAGCCCCCUAAUGCCAGACACAAGGGCCUGUGUUCUUUUUCCACUAUUCCAAUGCAUUGCGUCAAUAAAAACAGAUUAUCCUCCUGCCUCCUUUGUUUACAGAACCUAUUUUGUAGUUGCCUGAUCACCCCCUCAUUUUCCACCCAUGCCUGUAGUCUUUCCUUUACUAUCUGCAUCAACAGCCUUUAAACCACUACAGAUGUCACUGUUAUAGGACGGUAGUUAAUUGUAUCAGCUCUGUCUCCCUUUCCUGUAUAGAUUAUGCUCACCCUGCUUAUUUUCCACCCAUCAGAGGCUUCACCAAUAAUCAUUGUUUUUUGCUUGCUGCCGCUCUUAUUGUUUGCUUAGAAUUUUGACCUAAUUUUUCUGUUUGCAUUAUUGGGAUGCCGCCAGGGCCUGUUGAUUUGUAGUAGGAACCCUCUUCUCUGCCCUUUCCUAUUCAUCCCAGUGAAGCCGCUGUGCUAAUUGUUCUAUCUUUGUCCGAUAUAUUACAUGCAGCGCUUCCUUGGUUGUUAGAUAUUUCUGUCCAUCAUUGUUCUUAUAUAUUUCAUUGCCUCGUCCCCUUCUAGCCUAACCCCUUGAACUGUAGUUAUAAACCUCUGUUCUAUGCUUGUCUUAUUACUCAGAGAACUGAGAUGGUUCCAGAGCUUUGCUGCUGCCUGUCUAUCCUUUUUCUUCUAAUCUUUUUGUUGAUAAGAUAGGAAGCUUCCCUUCUGCAGCUUAAAUAGUUCACAUUUUCUUGUGACAUCAUGUUCUGGUUCGCCCCUCUGUUUAGCAUGACUGUUCCCUGGAGGCUUCGUGACACCUUACUGUGACCCUCUUAAUCCUCUUCCCACCAGCUCUUGGGAUUUUGUCCCCUUUUCCCGGUGUAUUUGACUCGUACCUUAGCAAACUCAAACGUCCGCAUACCGUGGCGCCACUGAGGAGUGGCGGCCGGAAGCUCUGUUUAGAUGACCUUAGUUUUGGUCCUGUUUCAAACAGCAAAUGUUGCUGCUUUGUUGCAACGUUGUGAACGGCCUCGGUAUUAUCGUGUUCCCUUGAAUUUCUAGAGUUUAAAGGAAAAUAUAAAGAAAUAGCUGAUUGAUUUUACUGUGUGCCUCGAUGCUAAGGCUAUUUUACUUAAAACAUAUGCGCAUCUUGGGCUACUAAGUCGAUGUUGUCAUGAUCAGCCUCCCUGGCUUGGCCUUGCUUGGACACGUGAGCCAAGAGUGGCGACAACACAAAAGUCUUUCUUCGACCACUCCAGGGCCAUCGUCACCACCCAUAAAACCCUUUGAGCACGCCUGACUGACUGAUGAAUUGGGAAGAGCUGGUGGUCGUCGAGGCUGCUUGCUUUGUUCGUCAAGCUGUCCAGACAAUGAAUGAGCCAAGCGUGUGAGAUCAGUCUACGGGGACGUUUCCCACGUAAUUUGUGGUGCCUUCAUGGCGACGAUUUUCCACAAGCUGUGGCCUGCCUGGCACGCGCUCCUGAUCGCAACGAUAAGUCAACGCUGCACCUAAAUGCACAAGUUGACCUGUACGUAGGACCCGACGUUCUUGCUCUGUGCUGUGCCAUGCGCAUUGGUUAGUGCUUUCUCCCUUGCCACAAGACAAACUGGACGUGCCUCUUCCCUCUUUCUGGGUCGGGAGUGUUUCACCUUCCUCUUUUGGGGGCAGAGGUGAAGGUGAUAAUUUCAUUGGACUGUCCUGGCCUCAGUUGUUUUCCCUGCAGAGAAUCCUUGGAAGACCAGGGCAUAAUACAGGAGCGUCAAGACGCCCCAGACAAGCUUCCAGAGACUUUCGCCGAGAGCUUUCAUGAUGCUGCCAUCAAUCAUGUAAAACGCUACCUUAGAACCUGUAAAUAAUGUAAAUAAAUGUUCUUAUCAUCAGCCCCA